UGGGGAAUAUUGCACAAUGGGCGCAAGCCUGAUGCAGCCAUGCCGCGUGUAUGAAGAAGGCCUUCGGGUUGUAAAGUACUUUCAGUCGGGAGGAAGGUGGUAAGGUUAAUAACCUUAUCAAUUGACGUUACCGACAGAAGAAGCACCGGCUAACUCCGUGCCAGCAGCCGCGGUAAUACGGAGGGUGCAAGCGUUAAUCGGAAUUACUGGGCGUAAAGCGCACGCAGGCGGUUGAUUGAGUCAGAUGUGAAAUCCCCGGGCUUAACCCGGGAAUUGCAUCUGAUACUGGUCAGCUAGAGUAUUGUAGAGGGGGGUAGAAUGACAUGUGUAGCGGUGAAAUGCGUAGAGAAGUGGAGGAAUACAGGUGGCGAAGGCGGCCCCCUGGACAAAGACUGACGAUCAGGUGCGAAAGCGUGGGGAGCAAACAGG
rnacentral:rRNA from 1 species